rnacentral:rRNA from 1 species
CCUACGGGUGGCAGCAGUGGGGAAUAUUGCACAAUGGGGAAAACCCUGUGGCAGCAAGGCCGCGUAAGCGAAAAAGGCCUUCGGGUCGUAAAGCUUGGUCUUAGGGGAGAAGGAAGAACGGUCCCUUGGACGGAGGCCCAGCCUACGUACGUGCCGGAGCCGGCGGGAAACCGUAGGGGGGGAGGUUUAUCCGGAAUCACUGGGCGUAAAGGGGGGGUAGGCGGCCGAUUAAGCCGGGGGUGAAAGGCUACGGCUCAACCGUAGUAAGCCCUUGGAACUGAUUGGCUUGAGUGCAGGAGAGGAGAGUGGAAUUCCUAGUGUAGCGGUGAAAUGCGUAGAUAUUAGGAGGAACACCAGUGGCGAAGGCGACUCUCUGGACUGUAACUGACGCUGAGGCACGAAAGCGUGGGGAGCAAACAGGAUUAGAUACCCGGGUAGUC